UACGGAGGGUGCAAGCGUUAUCCGGAUUCACUGGGUUUAAAGGGUGCGUAGGCGGGCAGGUAAGUCCGUGGUGAAAUCCCUGAGCUUAACUCAGAAACUGCCAUGGAUACUAUUUGUCUUGAAUAUUGUGGAGGUAAGCGGAAUAUGUCAUGUAGCGGUGAAAUGCUUAGAUAUGACAUAGAACACCAAUUGCGAAGGCAGCUUACUACACAGUUAUUGACGCUGAGGCACGAAAGCGUGGGGAUCAAACAGG
rnacentral:rRNA from 1 species